rnacentral:rRNA from 1 species
UACGUGGGGUGCGAGCGUUGUUCGGAAUUACUGGGCGUAAAGCGUGCGCAGGCGGUUCGUUGUGUCGGCGGUGAAAGUCCCGGGCUUAACCUGGGAAUGGCCGUCGAAACUGGCGAACUGGAGUGUGGCAGAGGGGGGUGGAAUUCCGCGUGUAGCAGUGAAAUGCGUAGAGAUGCGGAGGAACACCGAUGGCGAAGGCAGCCCCCUGGGCUGACACUGACGCUCAGGCACGAAAGCGUGGGGAGCAAACAGG